rnacentral:rRNA from 1 species
UACGUAGGCAGCAAGCGUUGUUCGGAGUUACUGGGCGUAAAGAGUACGUAGGCGGUUUGCUAAGUCUGGUGUGAAAUCUCCUGGCUUAACUGGGAGGGUGCGCUAGAUACUGGCAGGCUUGAGUAUGGGAGAGGAGAGUGGAAUUCCUGGUGUAGCGGUGAAAUGCGUAGAUAUCAGGAGGAACACCGGUGGCGAAGGCGGGUCUCUGGGCCGAUACUGACGCUGAGGAGCGAAAGUGUGGGGAGCGAACAGG